GGGGCUUUGGAGGGUAUUAUAGGUAAUCUAACAUGGAUGAAUCUUUUGUAACUAAUUUCAGAAGUUUCUAGUAGGGGUCUUAAGGGGAGUAUCAUAUUUUGGGUGUUUAAACUUGGGUAGAAAGUCAGGAAUUGAGGGUUACCUAAGCAAAAAUGAAAAUACAAAAGGGGGGUAAGGUGUAAAUUGGAAAACCUGAAGGCUGCCCUAUGCUUAAGCUUAUAAACGCAUGCUUUAUUGCCUUGAAAGACAGCCAUCAAGAUUCUAAAAAUCUGAAGGGCAUUAGAGAUACAAAAGAAAAAAACAUAAAAAUCAGUAUUGCUACUAUUCUAUGGAGUUUAAGGCCUAAACUUUGAAAGUUUUUCCAUCUCUAAAUCAAUUUGAAUUUUCUCUUUAUGUCCAAGCUUUGAAAUGGUUUGAAAAAUGAGGUGAUGAUCUUGGAUUUGGAUGGCUCUGAUUGUUUGAAGGUGGUAUUACGUGUUGAGAUUACAUUCCUCUGGGUUUUAGGCUAUUAAGUCUACUGUUCCAUUGGAGUUUUUAAGUAAUCUCCUGGUUUUAUUCACUAAGUCUAGGCUGUGUUGGUUGCUUUUGAUUUCUACGGUUGCUAUUUGAUAUUGCAUCUGUUUGGCUGGUUGUGUUCCUUCUGUUGGCUUUCAUCUUUAUUUGAGCUUACUACUGCUGCUCACUGUUAGCUCCUGGCUCAUUUUUGUUGGUUUUGCUGUUGUAAUCAGGUACAUACUCGAGGUCAUGUCAAUACAGAUUUUACUUGCUUGAAAUGAAAUGGAAUCGAAGUUACUGCUUGAAGAUCUCAUGUCAAUACAACUUUUCCUUGCUUGAAAUGAAAUGGAAUCGAAGUUACUGCUUGAAGAUCUGUUGUUCAUUUUAUUAUGCAAAUGAAUGUUUUGUAUGAUCUAUGUAAUUUCAUAGUGUGACAGAGCAUAAACCUAGGAGUUCUAUGUGUAGCAACGAGGUUUUGGACUGUUAAACUCGACUGAUUUUAUAGCUUUCAUUAAUUCUAUGUGUAGCACUGGUUAUAACUACACCAUUUGGGGUUGUUGAAUUCUGGAUUCUAUAACUUUCAUUAAGCCUUCAUUAUGCAUUUCAAAGUAGUCGAUCUCAGUCCAAAUGGCAAGGAUUUUCAUGAGUAAACACUGUUUGGUUCAUAUGAGCAAUAGAGUACAAUAUUAUCACCAUGCUUAUUUAGUUACAAGGAUUUAUAGAAUCUGACUCUAUAAUAGUUGAAUACACUUUUGCUUGUGAAUCACGAACCAGUUAAUUUAACCUGUUGUUUGGGCCUAUUGUUUGAUGUUAGGCCCAAUAAUUGUUACCCAUUAGAACUCAGGUUUUGAGUUAGGUAGCGGGUUUUAAACUAAAAGGUUCAUCCUUUUGUUUGGACCCGGACUUGAACUUAAGGCUUGGAGUUCGAAUAUAAUUAUUAGAAUCUUU
rnacentral:lncRNA from 1 species